GCUUCAGACUCUGGUCAUCUGAGUUCCCAAACAUUAAACAGAACAAACAUUUGGGAACUCUGAUGACCAGUGCUUGGAGU